UACGUAGGUGGCAAGCGUUGUCCGGAUUUACUGGGCGUAAAGCGCGCGUAGGCGGACCUGCAAGUCGGGGGUGAAAGCCCGAGGCUCAACCUCGGAACUGCCUUCGAUACUGCGGGUCUCGAGUCCGGGAGAGGUGAGUGGAAUUCCUAGUGUAGAGGUGAAAUUCGUAGAUAUUAGGAAGAACACCAGUGGCGAAGGCGGCUCACUGGCCCGGUACUGACGCUGAGGCGCGAAAGCGUGGGGAGCAAACAGG
rnacentral:rRNA from 1 species